CCGUCCCUCCCUCGGCCUCCCCCGAAGGCCCCGAGGCGGUCCGGGCCCCAGGCCUCUGCUUUCCCGGCUGCGAAACUCGGGAAGGAACGGGGCUGUGUUGUGAUCCGAGGCCGCGCGUCCCGUUCGGCUUCCUCUGGGCCACUCCCCACCCCUCUCCUUCUCCGGGCCAGGUGUAACAUUUUGUCUUCCCUUUUCAACUGAGGGUUUAAAACAGUGUUUCAGAUAACUGUCAAAACGCUAUGCAUGCAAAACCCUAGGUUAACUUAAGGGAAGGAGUAGGAGAGAAGAGGGGAAGGAGCGAAGUUCACUGGUCACUUCUGUGGGGGUGGGUUAGAUGGUCACAGUGGUGAACGCUUAACUGCUACAUGGCCCCGUGCGCUUACCAGCAUAGUCGUUACUGUUACUAACCCCGGACAGCACUGGUGUUAAGGAGGCAUGACCACGGACCGUGUGCUCAUUGAGCUUAAUUUUACACAAACUAAGAUUUCCACAGAAUCAAGACAGGCAGUAAACGCCAGCUGCGGAGGACAGCUUGUGCAGGGUUGGGGAACAGCAUGGCAUGAUCAGAACUUUAGUUUGACUGGCUUGAAAUGUAGAGGGAAAGGGAAAUUUCACACUGAUGAAUCAGAGAGGAGAUAGCUGUUUUUAUUAAACUAAAAUGGUUAAAUGAGCCUUGUUGGUUAAUGAUUUGCCUUAGCAAUGUGAAUUUGGAUUCUGCAAGUAUUUUAUAAGUUCUGUAAGAAGCUUGUUUUAAAAUUUCAAAACUCUUAAGAUAUUAGAAGUUCAGUUUUAUUUUAUAAGAAUUUUUUAAAAAGUGUUUAUUUAACUCAAUUAGAACUGAGUUCCUUUAACAUAGACUUUAUUAUCUCAUGUAUUAAUACCCUCUAGAGGUACACAAUGAAAAAUGUGAUUUAUAAACAGACACAUACAGACACAAGGAAAACAGAGUAUAUAGCUUCAGUAACAGUUUAAGAGAAAAGUCAGAAACAGAAAUUUUCCCUGGUCAAAAUAUCAAAAAAAGCAUCUGGGGCUUAUAUCCUUUAAUUGAUUUGAGCUCUAAAUGGACAAAUACACAUUUUUUUUUUUUAAAUUGCUAAGAACAAGAUCCUUUUUCACGUUGAAUAAUGAUUUUGAAGUUUAAAUAAAUACCAACAAUAGAGCUAUGAGGGAGGAAAAAUAUAAAAUACUGAUUUUUUUUUUAAUCUCACUGUAAGGUGCAUUCUUAAAUACAUAGGAGAGAACUGUCAUGAUUUGCGCAACUCGCUUGCAAAUAGUUCAACAGUAUUAACAAUGAUUGAAUUUAGAUGGUGGGCAUAUGGGAAUUUAUCAUCCUAUUAAACAGUUUUCUGUACUUCUGAGACUUAGAAUAAAACAUUGGAAGGAACCUGUUAGACAUAAUGCUCUAUGUGAAGUAAUUUGUUCCCUUUGUGAAAUUCUAGGAAGGUUAAAAUGCAUGUUCAUAACAUCAAGAAAAUCACAAGCAUUUACGAUGUAAUCAGAACUACCUGAGGAUCUGUGAAACUUGAUGUGUUAUUCUGGGAGAUCAUCAGGACUUCUGGGUAUUUGGAGGUACUGACCUAACCAGUGGAACUGCUGAUUUAUAAGAAGUUGUCCAGAAUUUUGGAAAACUGAUUAGUAGAGGCUGGAGACCGAGAAGAACUACCAUUUUUGCCAGCUGGGAUGCAGAAAAAUUUGGACUUCUGGGUUCCAUAAAUGGGCUGAGCUCUGUCAUAAUGGAAACUCUGCAGCAGAAUCAGCUGUCAUCUAUCCCGUGUGGCCAAGUGCAGAGGUGAGAAUUCUCAUUUGUGGGAUGACCACUCACAGCUUUAAAUGUUUUUACUGUAACUGCUCUUAUAAGGUAGCAAGCUAGAGAGAGAGAGAGAGAGAAACAGAGAGAAGAAAAGAGUUCUCUCUGCAUAUUCCCAUGUGUGUGAUGGCAUUAGUCUUCUUCUGCUGUAUUUUUCUAGAAUGUGUGUGCGUGUGUGCAUGUAUGUGUGAGAGAGAAAUGUCUUGUCUUUGUCCUAAUAGCCACUCUUCUCUCCCUCUAGUUUUUUCUCUAUCCUCCCCUCCUUUCUUUUUCUUUUUCAUCAAUAUCUUCUCUUUCAAAAAAUUCUUGAUAAAUCAAAUUUCCAACUUCCUCACUUUUAAUAUGGUAAAGUUACUUGGAUCCCCAACGUCAAGGGAUCUCAUACUUUAAUGUCUGUAAGGAUUGCCAGGGACACCAUUUAAAAGUACAGAUUUCCAGGCCUUACUUU